GUCUUGUUCUUGCGAAGACUUGUUUUGCAAGCUGAUGUUCCAGCUGGGCUCUUGUAUGGGAACUGCUGAGUCAUGGCCUGAACCUCUGAUUGAUCACCUGAGGCGAGCCAUGAGGCAGCCAGAGGAGCACAGGUGAAGGCAAUUCAAUUCACCUGUGCUGCCAGAAGGGGGUGGAGCCUGGCUGCCCCCUCCUAGAGCUAUUUAAGAGCUGGCUGCCAGGAGGGAAGGAUCUUUGCUGGAGAUCUGCUCUGCUGGAGUUUUGUGACAUCUUAAAAUUCUUUGACUGUAGAGCUCUGUAUCACGCACUGGCCAUAUGGGUACAGCAUGCAAGUGGAACAAACCCUACAGACCCUGGGGAGAAUGAAAGUGGGAGAAAGAGUGGAAGUGUGCUUUGAAGCAGGGGAUGCCCUGCUAGUGAUGCUGGUCAAAUCCACUGCUGGCAUGUUCCUUCUCUCUCCUUUUCGGUGGCUUGCCAUCUCUCAAGGUUUCCUUGCAGGAAGAGGAUAAAGAAAAGUCUGCUUUCACACAGGAGAGGAUAUGAUAUACCUUUAGCUGACUCCCACAGGGGUGUACACAUUCUCCCACUAUUGCUCAAGCCACCUCAGUGAACUUUGACAGAGUUUCACUGCCUUAGGAUGUGUAUCCAUGUGUAGAUGAUAUUUAAUUGCAAGCUCAUACUCCGGAAAGGUGGGGGAAGUGGCAGCAGCACUAGAUGACUGAGAAUUUGAGAUACCACCUGCAAACUGUCAGGGACUAAGUAAAGGAGUGAAACUUUAACGCAGCAAAGGCCAGCAAAAUUGUGCAGACUUGACUGAACCAAAGCGGAGAUAUGGGAAACCAGUGUGAACAGAAGCAAAGCUGUGCAAAAUCUUACAAAACCACGUGAACUUCAUGGAAUCUCAGUGAAGACCAGUGAUCCUGCAAAGUCUUCAGUGAACCAGGGUGGACUUCUGCAAAGCCCAGUGAAGAUCCACAAGCCUGUACAAAAAUACUGUGAAUCCGCAUGGACAGUACAAGGAACCCAAGUGAAAACCCACAACAUCGUGCGUCCUUUGGUUUAUUCAGGUUUGUUAUCUGGCAAUGCAGCCCAGCUGGAUAAGGCUCUUGUAGACUGGUAGUAUUUUCUUCAGGAACACUGAAAUCUGAAUCAGUGGGACAUCGCUUAUGAUCUAUUAUCCAACUCUUAUCUUCUCCUCCCCUGGUUUCUCAUUGCCUGAGCAC